UGUAUCUUGUGCAGAGAAUUCUCGAUGCUGGAAGAUUUUGAAGUUUCGCGCCGUCCAGAGAGCUGCAACUAUCCAGGGGACCAGGGGGGCAAUCCACAAGACCAAUUGGAGGGAGGGUGAUCACAUUGACAGUUCUCUCCCAUCCUUCAUUAAACGUGUUCAGAGACACACUGUAUGAGAAAGGUACCAAUCUCCAAACUUCUUGCGCAUAUGGGCAUUGAAAUAGGAGGUGUAGGAUUGACUCGGAACCCCCACUAUGAAUGCAGUUGGCAUUAGUUAGGACUUGUCGUGCCAUUAGAACUUCACCUACUGGUAAUACUCCAUGCUUGAUUUUCCAUAGAAGCAUUUUUAGUUUAGGAGCAGUAGGUAAUUUUCAAACUGAAUUUAGCCAAUCUUGAUGUGGGAAAUGCGCCUCCAGAGCAGUGGGAUUAAGUUUUCCCAAAGCAGCAUAGUAUCCUGUCUUAGCUGUGUAUGAUCCCGAGUCAUGUUUUAGCCAGAUGAGUUUAUCUUCUCCUCCUAGUUUACUAGGUUUUAUCGCCAUGAUGUUUCCCUGGAGGAUUGGGAACAUUUCUUCAAUCUUUUCUUUGUUCCAUUCUCUGGAGUUCUCUUUGAAGAGUUCUGCCACUUUCAUGUCUUCAGAGGCUUCCGUGGCCGGUCCCAUUGGGCGUUCCACUGUAGAAGAUGAUAGCCAUGGGACCUUCCAAGCUAGGACAUUUUCACCAUUCCCAAUAGCCCACCCUAGAUUAUCUCUGAUCAGAUCUCUGCCAAUCAUGAUUCCCCUCCAGCCAUGUGAGCAAGAAGCAGACGUAGCCACCUGGAGAAAGUCUUGGUUGUGGAAAUAUUUUCCUGCGUCAUUGAAGCUCUCGAUGUCUCGGAAUCCACAGCAGAGAGUCGUUCGUCGUUGUCGGCGGUGGAGAAUUUCGUGGCGGCGUAGCGUUGAGCCACGAGAGUCUUUGAUUCAAGAAGAUAGCAAAGGAGUCAAGCGCAGUGGAAGACCUCGUAUCCUUUCUCGUGCUUGAACUGAACAAACUCCUUUUUACUCUUAACUUCUUUUAUAAUCCGUCGAAAUCCCCCAAGGUCUGAUAACUCUUCCCACUCAGGUAAUUUUAAAUUAUGUUAAUGUGGCUUUUUGGAUUUAGUUUGAUGAAUUUUCUUUUGUUGUCUGUGUGGAUCAGAAGCAACAUGAAAUGGAUUGAAGACAGCGCUUACUACCAGAGCAUUGAAAAAAGAUCCAAACUUUUACACCUAUUGACUCGUACAAUUAGUUUUAGAAAUAUGGAGUGGUAUUCGUAUUAAGAGAGAUACUAGAAUAGGGAACAGGGGCAUCCCACGUAACAAGAAAGUUUGCUUACAGAACAACAAAACCAGAGAUGCAUCUUUCUCUUUAUUUUGUUUUGUUUCAGGCCUCAAUGCGUGGGAAAAGCAGGGAGACGAAAGCAAACAUGAGGAUCAAAUUAAAAUUAUUAAAAUAAUACUAGGUUUGUUAAGUAUUAUUAAGUCAAACAAAUGCCUGAAAGGAAUAAACAAUAUUAGUUUAAGAAAAAUAAUUUAUAUAAAUAAUUUAUUUUAAUUUGUUAGUUAUUCUU
rnacentral:lncRNA from 1 species